GAUUGAACGCUGGCGGCAGGCCUAACACAUGCAAGUCGAGCGGCAGCGGRAAGUAGCUUGCUACUUUGCCGGCGAGCGGCGGACGGGUGAGUAAUGUCUGGGGAUCUGCCUGAUGGAGGGGGAUAACUACUGGAAACGGUAGCUAAUACCGCAUAACGUCGCAAGACCAAAGCGGGGGACCUUCGGGCCUCGCGCCAUCAGAUGAACCCAGAUGGGAUUAGCUAGUAGGUGGGGUAAUGGCUCACCUAGGCGACGAUCCCUAGCUGGUCUGAGAGGAUGACCAGCCACACUGGAACUGAGACACGGUCCAGACUCCUACGGGAGGCAGCAGUGGGGAAUAUUGCACAAUGGGCGCAAGCCUGAUGCAGCCAUGCCGCGUGUAUGAAGAAGGCCUUCGGGUUGUAAAGUACUUUCAGCGAGGAGGAAGGCAGUAAGGUUAAUAACCUUAYUGAUUGACGUUACUCGCAGAAGAAGCACCGGCUAACUCC
rnacentral:rRNA from 1 species